rnacentral:rRNA from 1 species
GUACGCUGGCGGCACGCCUAACACAUGCAAGUCGAACGAAGUAGCAAUACUUAGUGGCAGACGGGUGAGUAACAUGUGGGUAUCUACCCUUUGGCCUGGAAUAACACGAGGAAACUUGUGCUAAUACCGGAUAAGUCUUUACGGAGAAAGCUUUAUGCACCAUUGGAUGAGCCCGCACUUGAUUAGUUUGUUGGUAGGGUAAUGGCCUACCAAGACUAUGAUCAAUAGCUGAUUUGAGAGGAUGAUCAGCCACAUUGGGACUGAGACACGGCCCAAACUCCUACGGGAGGCAGCAGUGGGGAAUCUUGCACAAUGGAGGAAACUCUGAUGCAGCGAUGCCGCGUGAGUGAAGAAGGCCUUUGGGUUGUAAAGCUCUUUCGUCGGGGAAGAAAAUGACUGUACCCGAAUAAGAAGGUCCGGCUAACUUCGUGCCAGCAGCCGCGGUAAUACGAAGGGACCUAGCGUAGUUCGGAAUUACUGGGCUUAAAGAGUUCGUAGGUGGUUGAAAUAGUUGGUGGUGAAAUCCCAGAGCUUAACUCUGGAACUGCCAUCAAAACUUUUCAGCUAGAGUAUGAUAGAGGAAAGCAGAAUUUCUAGUGUAGAGGUGAAAUUCGUAGAUAUUAGAAAGAAUACCAAUUGCGAAGGCAGCUUUCUGGAUCAUUACUGACACUGAGGAACGAAAGCAUGGGUAGCGAAGAGGAUUAGAUACCCUCGUAGUCCAUGCCGUAAACGAUGUGUGUUAGACGUUGGAAAUUUAUUUUCAGUGUCGCA